rnacentral:sRNA from 1 species
CUUUAAAAGGUCUAGAACUUUUGUGGGUUUUUUUCUUUUUUUCAAAAAUCUAGAAAGCCAGCUAAUUUGGGAAAUCUUCCUCUUUUAAACAUCAGCCAUUCUACCAAGUAGAACGCCCUGUGAGCUAGGCUUGGUUUUCAAUUUGCAAGCUUUGUCUGAAAUUCUGAGUGCUGUUUUCCCCCAAAUCACCUCAAAAUGCAUCCCAUGUCAGCAGGUAAAGGUCUCUUUCAGAAGCUUGUCUGUCUGUGCAGUUUCAGUAUCAGGAAAGGCUUUCUGUAGAAGCUAAUAGUUUCCUUUUGUUAAGAUUUGAAAGUUAUAAGCCUUUCUCUGCUUCUUCCCAGCCAGGUCUCUAGACAAACUUUAUAACUUUGCUGAUUGCUCUGGACUCCACCUGAUAUUUGCUCUAAAUGCACUGCGUCGUAAUCCCAAUAACUCCUGGAACAGUUCUAGUGCCCUGAGCCUGUUGAAGUACAGUGCCAGCAAAAAGUACAACAUUUCUUGGGAACUGGGUAAUGAACCCAAUAACUAUCGGAGCAUCCACGGCCGGGCAGUAAAUGGCAGUCAGUUGGGAAAGGAUUACAUCCAGCUGAGGAGCCUGCUGCAACCCAUCCGGAUUUACUCCAGAGCCGGCUUGUACGGCCCCAGUAUUGGACGGCCCAGGAAGAACGUCAUUGCCCUCCUGGAUGGAUUCCUGAAGGUGGCAGGAAGCACAGUAGAUGCGGUUACCUGGCAACAGUAGGUAUUCAUCAUCUUUAUCUCACUUAUCAGCUGCUGUGAAAUGGAAGAUAAUUAGUUGUCACCAAGUUCACAGCUGACAUUUGAUAAACUACCCUUUAUCUUUCAAGAAAAAUUAAAAUCAUCUCUAAAGCUGUUAUUAGAACACAUGUUGUCUGAUGUGCUAUGACUUUAUGUUAUUAUUUUCAAAACCAUAACCCUCCCCCCAAUACUGACAAUUUAGAAAUCCUCCCUAUUAAUGUACACUCUUAAAUUAAUCUGUCAUGGAUGAAGGAUAAUGGAGAUGAAGUGUGACACCAUUUCCCUGUAGGCCUUCCCUUGGGAAAUGAAUUUCUCUGUUUAAGAGAGGAAGCAGUUUUGACUGUUCAAUAUAUCAUGUGAACAGAGAAAUAAUAUAUUACCAUCUGUAGUUUUAAUUAGUGCCUAGAAAUUUGAUAAUAUAAAGCAGGUUAAAAAGAGAAAAUAUUAAGAAAUUUGUAUUAU